rnacentral:rRNA from 1 species
AUUGAACGCUAGCGGCAUGCCUAACACAUGCAAGUCGAACGGGAGGCGGGCGGGAGAGAAAUGUCUGGGAACAUGCGUGAGGGAGGGGGACAACUACGGGAAACGGUAACUAAUACCGCAUAGCAUGGGAGGUGCCCGGAUGGGAUUAGCUAGUGGGUGGGGUAACGGCUCACCUAGGCGACUAUCCCUAGCUGGUCUGAGAGGAGGCACAGCCACACUGGAACUGAGACCCGUCCCAGACUCCUACGGGAGGCAGCAGUGGGGAAUAUUGCACAAUGGGCGCAAUCCUGAUGCAGCCAUGCCGCGUGUAUGAAGAAGGCCUUCGGGUUGUAAAGUACUUUCAGCGGGAAGGCGUUACCCGCAGAAGAAGCACCGGCUAACUCCGUGCCAGCAGCCGCGGUAAUUC